GCCCUCGUAGCUCAGGAGGAUAGAGCGAUUGAUUCCUAAUCAAUAGGCCACAUGUUCGAGUCAUGUCGAGGGCA
rnacentral:tRNA from 1 species